AUGCAGCUGACGAGUCUCAAAUAAGACGAGACGUGCGUCCUGAAC
rfam:Schistosoma haematobium scaffold868_16, whole genome shotgun sequence.